UGAAGGUUGUCUGGAAGAGAUCGCUUUAUGGCGAUAAGUCCGCCUGUUGUUACCUACUAAUUUAAGUCCUGUCUUUGUUUGUAAUAUGAGCUUUUCUUUAGUAGUGCACAAUAAAUAAUUUUAUUAUUAUUAUUAUUUGUCUGUCUUACCAUAUCUCGGGACCAUGGGGUCCCGGACCUUUGGGAGGCAUGCGUGGGGCCGAAGCCAACAGCGCAGAGGCCCUUUAAGACGAAUUAAUCUAAAAACAAGGGAUACACGUGGCGGAUACCAUCUCCGAGCGCACAAUAUGAUACAUCUGGUGAUGGUCCCCGCCAGGUGCAAAGACUAUUGAUGAUCAAACGAACUUCUUGAAGUGAAGUUCGAUCGAUAUUAUAUGAGUCACUUCAUUUGAAGAUAUAAUUUUAUAUUAACCAUGUAGUUUCCCUAUUGUACAGAUAGCAUCGCACACAUUUAAGAGUAACUAUUUUGAUUAAAACUGUGAAAACCAACAUCCGCCCACUUCCGCUUACUGGUUACCUGCGUGCGGCGACCGCUGCGCUCUUCAUUAUUUUUAGAGAAGGCAAGAACCAAAACUUAUAUCAGGGUUCUAGGGUGGGUGGGACCUUAUAUUAUAUCUUCAAAUGAAGUGACUCAUAUAAUAUCGAUCGAACUUCACUUCAAGAAGUUCGUUUGAUCAUCAAUUAUAUUUCGUCACUUCAUUUUUCAGAUAUAAUUUUAUAUUAACCAUGUAGAUGUUUAGAGAUAUAAGUUUUGGUUGAAAUAAGACAAAAGCUUUGGCUGUCUCAGUGCCUAGUUUAAGUUAAGACGUUCCUCCUAACUCCACACACCACAUAGAAAAAAAAACUUCUCAAUGUAUAUGCCAUGCCAAUGACCGCAGGAUUUUUAUUUUAAUUACUGUACGUUACGUAUACACCGUACUAACAUUAGAAAUAUAUUAUUAAAAAACAUCAUAGUGAGACACUAAAACCAUAUAUCUAUCUUAGUCCGAAGUAAAAUAAGUCAUUCGGGUGAAAUUUAUUUGUUAAUGUUAACCAUGGUGAUAACCCGAAAUGUUUUGUAUUUCUUUUUUUUUUUUUUUUAUCUGACCUACUGUAUUUGCAGUUCGUAUAUUUAUAAUAUAGUUCACGUUUCAAAAUCAAGGUGAUAUUUAAACAGUUAUUAUAAUAAACACAAAUGGGUGGAAAAACAAUUAAAAACUUAUAAAUAAUUAUUAUAGUUUAAUAUUUCAAAUUAUUAGAUUAUAUAAGUUAAUAGCAAGAAUUUAUUUAUUAUCAGGUGCUAGGGAUUUAUUUUGAUCUGAAUUUAUUUAUUUUCAAUUUCUAGGGAUUUAUUUUGAUAAGUUGUAUUAAGUUAGUGUCCCAAAUGUACCAUAUGUUUUGAGUUAUAUGAUUUAAAACCGUAUUUCAGCAGUCGUUUAACUUUAACCAAUUCUGUAAUAAAAGAAAACAAUCUGAUGAUCCUUUUUCAUGAAAACACAUGAUACUAUUUUAAUUGACUGCUAAAGAAAUCCAGAAGUAUGGUAAAUUAAACUGAACCAAAAUUAAAUCAAUGCUUUAGCGAACAACUGUCUAACGGGUUGUGUUUUAAGCCAUCAAGUAAUUGAAGUUAUUAUCGCUGUAUCCCACCUGCGCAGAGUAGCCCACCUGCGUAGACUGCAGACCAAGUUCAGGACAUAACA